rnacentral:rRNA from 1 species
CCUACGGGGGACAGCAGUAGGGAAUCUUCCACAAUGGGCGAAAGCCUGAUGGAGCAACGUCGCGUGGGUGAAGAAGGUCUUCGGAUCGUAAAACCCUGUUGUUAGAGAAGAAAGUGCGUGAGAGUAACUGUUCACGUUUCGACGGUAUCUAACCAGAAAGCCACGGCUAACUACGUGCCAGCAGCCGCGGUAAUACGUAGGUGGCAAGCGUUAUCCGGAUUUAUUGGGCGUAAAGGGAACGCAGGCGGUCUUGUAGGUCUGAUGGGAAAGCCUUCGGCUUAACCGGGGUAGUGCAUUGGAAACUGGGAGACUUGAGUGCAGAAGAGGAGAGUGGAACUCCAUGUGUAGCGGUGAAAUGCGUAGAUAUAUGGAAGAACACCAGUGGCGAAGGCGGCUCUCUGGUCUGUAACUGACGCUGAGGUUCGAAAGCGUGGGUAGCAAACAGGAUUAGAUACCCGUGUAGUC